AGAGGUGGAGCGAAUCACAAAACUCGGUCUCAGUUCAGAUUGCAGGCUGCAACUCGCCUGCAUGAAGUUGGAAUUGCUAGUAAUCGCGAAUCAGAAUGUCGCGGUGAAUACGUUCCCGGGCCUUGUACACACCGCCCGUCACACCAUGAGAGUCGAUAACACCCGAAGCCUGUGAGCUAACCUUUUAGGAGGCAGCAGUCGAAGGUGGGGUUGAUGAUUGGGGUGAAGUCGUAACAAGGUACC
rnacentral:rRNA from 1 species